UACGUAGGGUGCAAGCGUUGUCCGGAAUUACUGGGCGUAAAGGGCUCGUAGGCGGCCAACUAAGUCCGACGUGAAAUCCCCAGGCUUAACCUGGGAACUGCGUCGGAUACUGGAAGGCUUGAAUCCGGGAGAGGGAUGUGGAAUUCCAGGUGUAGCGGUGAAAUGCGUAGAUAUCUGGAGGAACACCGGUGGCGAAGGCGACAUCCUGGACCGGUAUUGACGCUGAGGCGCGAAAGCCAGGGGAGCAAAGCGGG
rnacentral:rRNA from 1 species